ensembl:lncRNA
AACGUUCAACUAGCUGAAUGGUGAAUGGUAAAGCAAAACAUAGGAAGAUUUUUGAUGUACGUAGGGUGAUGAUGAGUGGUAUUUUUCAUGCAGCAGUGAGGUCAGCAGACUGGUAGCAGGCUUAAAAUGGCCUUGAGGAAUGUCCUAUUAUAUGGUAGGUAGGAGAAUUCUAAGACAUCCAUCAUCUAUUCUUUCCCUUUACAGAUAAGCUGCCUUGUGCUUACUGCCUCUCCCAGCUGAAAUUUAUGCUGUAAUAUUUUUCCAUGCUGUUCUGUCCUUAAUACAGCCUAAGAUCUUAUUUGUUUUCUUGACUGCACAUUGAGCAGACAUCUUCAUCGAGCUGUCCAUGGUGAUGCCUAGAUCGUCCCCUUGAAAGAUCACAACUAAUUCAGAACCCACCAGAGCAUGUAUGAGUGGUUUAAAGCCUUUCCAGUAUUCAUUGCCUUUUGUUUUUCCUACUAGCGUUUACUUGCUGCUCUUUGCCAGGUUUACAAGUUGGUUAGCUUAUCCUGGCAAUCACCACUUUCCCUAGUGCUGACAAACCUGUUAACUUUCUAUAAGCAUUGGAUUUUGCCAUCAUAUAUAUACAGAAGUCUUCAGUGUCAUGCAUGUGAUCCACUGUUCUUAUCAGUGACCAGCAUGACUUGCUCAUGCUUUUUACUCAAUCUGACCUUUUCUUGUUCUACCUUCUAUAUUGAGAUUUUCUUUCUAGCUCAGUUGUUACAGCACUGAAGUCAUCAAGCUGUAACUGUCUGCUUUAUUUCAAAUACUGUGCUUACAGAGGAGCAUUGGUUAAAAUGCUGUUGCAUUUUCUUUUAAAUAAAUCGUUUGUUCUGUAUCUCUUUCAGAAUAUGUACUACAAUAACAAAAUGAUUCAAACCAUAAAUACGGCUGAUAAAUGAGAGCAAAAUGAUUCUAUGGUUCUAUGGAAGACAUUGCCAAGCAGGUAAAACGUAUGUUAAUCUGAUCUCUAGGCAUUCAGGGGAGCAUAAAUUCAUUGGUUUCGGUAGAGUUGCUCCAUAUUCCUGUUGCUUGGCCUCAGUUUCAUUAAAACUUAAUUUGAGAUCUCACUAACAUGUAGGUACAGCAGCCAGAACCCAGCACAAGAGAACACAGCCCAUGGCAAACUUACUUGAAAUUCGUGUUACUCUUUUCUUUGUUCACGGCAGAGGUGAAGCAAGGAUAUUCAUUCCUUGCUUUGACCAAGUGCUCAGGCAUGCCUGCUCUAACGUAACCUGAUGGAGUAUUUAACUGGACACUGAAAUUAGAUUAUAUUUGAGAUGAAGGUAGCGCGGCAACACAGGGGCAGGCUUAGUCAUUGUGUCGUUUCAUCUCUUUACAUCCUCAUCUUGUAGGUUAAAGGUCAUACAACUGUAAGUAAGGCUUGGUCUUUAAGUACUAAUUGCAUUUACCAGGAAUGCAACAGCUUGUUAGGAAUAAAGUAGAGGUGGUAUGAUGGAAGAAGACUGACUGUUUGGAUGUAUGCUUGCCUCUAAGGCGCUGUACUCUCUCAGUGUUGGAAUAUUAUGUCAUACAAAGCAGCUGCUUUCUGCUAUUAGCAAUCAUCUGUGGUUGAGAGGAUACCUUACGUUAGCUGUUUUACCUACAAGGAUUACAGUAGUGGCUGCAGGGGACUGUAUCGUCUGGAGGUUGGAGGUGAGGCUUUUCUCCCAUCCCGUCACCAAUUCUAGUUUGAAAGCAGAGGUAAAGCAGAACACAUUUCUUGAUGCCCUUUUGUACACAUCCUAAAAGAUGUAGCUGUGCUGGCGCCACUGCACAGAGCCUCAUGUUGGCCCUAUGCCUCUUGUUACUUAACCACUCUGUACCCCGCAGGGCUGAUCAGCUCUCACUGGUUACACUGCAUCUUCAGUCUGGGAAUUUAGGUAGAAGGCAAACUGGCUUUGUAAGCUGGCUUGGCUGUUUUUUAGAGGCUUUCCUGCAGCUCAAACCACAGCACCACUCUCUCUUAAGUAUUUCACCUUUCUUCACAAUGAUAUUCCCUUCUUUUGUUCAGCUGUAUUUUACCCUGCCAAGGAUCCUGAGCCAGGUACCUCAAUGACCAUUUAUUGAGAGCAGUUCUGUAAGCAAGAACUCAUGAGUCAGGAUCAUGUUGUACAUCACCUGCCUAGGCUCCAGCACCACGUACACAGCUCUACUGCUGCUGCAAAAUGUUUAGUAAGUAAAUAUGAUGUCCCUGAGUCCUGAAGAAUUGAAGUCUAGAUCCUCAAGGGGUCCAUGACAGCUCAUUCCAACAAAAUGCAGCAAACUGAAAGGAGGAGUACUGGUCUCAGUAAAACAGAUGAGCUAUGAGAAGGAACAGAGCUGCAUGACUGGUAACUUGUUAGUUCAAGCACAACUGCCUGACCUGGGCAGUAGAAGCAUGGGUCCAGCCUAGAGGGAGAUUUGGUUUGGUUCAAUAACAAGAUGACACAGCGAAGAGGACAUCUCUAUAAAUGAAAAUAUGAAACUGAAUGUGCUUUCAGCAAUGUACAGGAAUGCCUCAGCACCAGAGCCAACCUGAAGUAACAAAGAUAAAGCCCUUUGAGUUCUUACAGCAGUACAAAAGAAAGGAGGAUACUGGCUGGCUGGGAAAAGGGUUGGCCAGGAGCCCAUCCAUCACAGCUGAGUACAGGAUCACUGUGUGGCCCCCCCACAGUUAACACAGGAAUCUACUGGUGCCUGUAAUAUUUAUAUAUCUUUAUACUAAUAAUUUAAGUUCAAAACCUAUGCUAUGUAUAUAUAUAUAUAUUUUUUUGUCAGUAGAUUUUUUUUAGCCUGGUUUCCCUCUGAUGGUUUCUGCAUAUGCCAUCUUCUGACUGUGCAGUGCACACCUCUGUUCUACUUUUGUCCCAUGUUAGAGUAAUGGUAUCAAACUCUGUAAAGCACUUUUGUGAUGUUUCCUGUAAAGAAAGCUGAAGAAAAUAAAUUUAUCUUAAC